UCGAUCCUGGCUCAGAAUGAACGCUGGCGGCGUCGGUUAAGACAUGCAAGUCGAACGGUUUUCAUCAAAGGGCAACCUAAGAUGAAAGCAGUGGCGAACGGGUGCGUAACAACGUGAACAAUCUACCUCCAAGUGGGGAAUAGCUCGUCGAAAGGCGAAUUAAUACCGCAUGUGGUCGGGGCUCGCAUGAGUCCUGAACCAAAGUCAGGGACCGCAAGGCCUGACGCUAGGAGAGGAGUUCGCGGCCUAUCAGCUAGUUGGCGAGGUAACGGCUCACCAAGGCCUAAGACGGGUAGCUGGUCUGAGAGGAUGAUCAGCCACACUGGAACUGAGACACGGUCCAGACACCUACGGGUGCAGCAGUUUCGAAUCAUUCACAAUGGGCGAAAGCCUGAUGGUGCGACGCCGCGUGACGGGAUGAAGGUCUUCGGAUUGUAAACCUCUGUCACUGGGAA
rnacentral:rRNA from 1 species